UACGUAGGGGGCAAGCGUUGUCCGGAAUCAUUGGGCGUAAAGAGCGUGUAGGCGGCGCGGUAAGUCGGGUGUGAAAUCUCGGAGCUUAACUCCGAAACUGCAUUCGAUACUGCCGUGCUUGAGGACUGGAGAGGAGACUGGAAUUUACGGUGUAGCGGUGAAAUGCGUAGAUAUCGUAAGGAAGACCAGUGGCGAAGGCGGGUCUCUGGACAGUUCCUGACGCUGAGGCACGAAGGUCAGGGGAGCAAACGGG
rnacentral:rRNA from 1 species